rnacentral:rRNA from 1 species
UACGUAGGGGGCAAGCGUUAUCCGGAUUUACUGGGUGUAAAGGGGGCACAGACGGCGAUGCAAGCCAGGAGUGAAAGCCCGGGGCCCAACCCCGGGACUGCUCUUGGAACUGCGCGGCUGGAGUGCAGGAGGGGCAGGCGGAAUUCCUGGUGUAGCGGUGAAAUGCGUAGAUAUCAGGAGGAACACCGGUGGCGAAGGCGGCCUGCUGGACUGCAACUGACGUUGAGGCCCGAAAGCGUGGGGAGCAAACAGG